rnacentral:rRNA from 1 species
GACGUAGGGCGCGAGCGUUUGUCCGGAUUUAUUGGGCGUAAAGAGCUCGUAGGUGGUUUGUCGCGUUGUUCGUGAAAAACUCACAGCUCAACUGUGGGCGUGCGGGCGAUACGGGCAGACUUGAGUACUGCAGGGGAGACUGGAAUUCCUGGUGUAGCGGUGGAAUGCGCAGAUAUCAGGAGGAACACCGGUGGCGAAGGCGGGGUCUCUGGGCAGUAACUGACGCUGAGGAGCGAAAGCGUGGGGGAGCGAACAGGA